CAAUGACAGUGUCACUUUAUUACCGACCAUUUUCCUGUGUCGUAUAAUUUUUCACACCGAAUUAUGUAAAAGCCAUAAAAUCCCAAUAACUUCGUUUUUCCUUGAAUGUUUUAACCAUCAAUACUGUAAGACCUGUAGUAAAAUUGAAUUUAUCAAUUUGUGGUGAAAUAUAAACAAAGUUCAUAAUGGUUAAUGACAAAGAUCCCGAAGAUAGUUACCGAAAAAAACUGGACAUGUGCAUUACAGAUGCCAUCAUAAAAGGAGGUGGGGGCAUACUACUGGGCAGCUUGGCGUCGGUGCUUAUAGUUAAGAGGAGGUGGCCCAUCACAACUGGUUUAGGCAUAGGCAUGGGUAUUUCUUUCGCCAACUGCCAGUACGCUCUAAAUAAUAGAACUAAUUCUCUUUAAGUAUAAUUAGUUGUAGCGUCUACAGUUGUCAGGUGGACAUGGUGUAACAGACGCGCAAAGGCUACUAAAUAGAUGCAAUAUAGCCUUGAAAUGAAACACUCUAAGGCUAUCCAAGAGAUAGAAGCCACUCAUGUAAUCCGAAACCAUAAGUACUGUACCAUGAGACCACGACCAACUGACCACUACAUAGACCAAUAAUUGUUGUGAAAUAGAUGCAGUUAAUUUAAUCAAAA